rnacentral:rRNA from 1 species
UACGGGGGGGGCAAGCGUUGUUCGGAAUUACUGGGCGUAAAGGGCCAGUAGGCGGCCAACUAAGUCCGACGUGAAAUCCCAAGGCUUAACCUUGGAACUGCGUCGGAUACUGGAUGGCUUGAAUUCGGGAGAGGGAUGCAGAAUUCCAGGUGUAGCGGUGAAAUGCGUAGAUAUCGGGAGGAACACCUGUGGCGAAAGCGGCGCACUGGACCACAACUGACGCUGAGGCGCGAAAGCUAGGGGAGCAAACAGG